rnacentral:rRNA from 1 species
UACGGGGGGUGCGAGCGUUGUCCGGAAUCACUGGGCGUAAAGGGCGCGUAGGUGGCGUGAUAAGGGUGUGGUGAAAGCCCGGGGCUCAACCCCGGGUCUGCCAUGCCGACUGUCAGGCUAGAGUACUGUAGGGGCAGGCGGAAUUCCAGGUGUAGCGGUGAAAUGCGUAGAUAUCUGGAGGAACACCGGUGGCGAAGGCGGCUUUCUGGACAAAUACCGACGCUGAGGCACGAAAGCUAGGGGAGCAAACAGG